AUCGAACGCUGGCGGCAUGCUUAACACAUGCAAGUCGAACGGGCAUCUUCGUGUUUCAGUGUCGGACGGGGUGGUAACACGGGGGAACGUACCUUUCGGUUCGGAAUGACGCAGGGGAACGUGAGCUAAAACCGGAUACGCUCUUGUGUGGAAAGUUUUACUGCACGAGGAUGGGCUUGCGGCUUAUUGGCUGGGGGGUGGGGUAACGGACUACCAAGGGGACGAUCAGUAGAUGGUCUGAGAGGCUGAUCAGCCACACUGGGACUGAGACACGGCCCAGACUCUUACGGGAGGCAGCAGUGGGGAAUAUUGGAAAAUCGGCGCAAGGCUGAUCCAGUCAUGCCGGGUGAGCGAUGAAGGCCUUAGGGUUGUACUGCUCUUUUGUCCGGGCCGAUAAUGACGGUACCGGAAGAAUAAGCCCCGGCUAACUACGUG
rnacentral:rRNA from 1 species